GUGCCAGCCGCCGCGGUAAUACGGAGGGUGCAAGCGUUAAUCGGAAUUACUGGGCGUAAAGCGCGCGUAGGCGGUUUGUUAAGUCAGAUGUGAAAUCCCCGGGCUCAACCUGGGAAUGGCAUUUGAGACUGGCAGGCUAGAGUGUGGUAGAGGUGAGUGGAAUUUCAGGUGUAGCGGUGAAAUGCGUAGAGAUCUGAAGGAACAUCAGUGGCGAAGGCGACUCACUGGGCCAUUACUGACGCUGAGGUGCGAAAGCGUGGGUAGCAAACAGGAUUAGAUACCCCAGUAGUCC
rnacentral:rRNA from 1 species